UAAAUAUAAGUAAGUUGUUUUUUAUUAUUAUUGGUUUUAAAUAGUGUUAGAUAUUCAAUCGUAUUUUUUAUGAAUCUAAUAAUUUAGUAGAGUGUUAUUGUCUGGAGGUGUUUGAUAUUCAGUCAGUAGAACAUGCAAAAUAUUGAAAUGAUUUGCUGCUGUGACUGUGUUUAUGAUUAUCCACGGCAAGAUGGUAUUUUAUUGUCAGUUAAGAUUUUGUGAAUACUUUAAACUGCAGUUAAUCUUUUUUAUGUAUUAUAAAUUAUUUUGUAUUACAAACUUUUUAAAUUU